rnacentral:lncRNA from 1 species
GGAAGCUGGGUAGCUGGGGUCUACAGUAGAAAAAUCCAGGGUGUUGUUCUGCUUAGUUUUUUUUUUCUAAAGUAGGUCUAAAGUUGAGGUCGUAUACCCUACCCAACCCUUACCGGACAGUUAAUAAAAAAAUUCUGCGGCAAUACUUUUAUCUGCACUAGGUGAGAACGUAAGCUAGAGAUCUAGGGCCUACUUGAUCAAAAUUACAAGUUAAUUUAUAGCACGGAUCAAUCUUUUUUAAGCUAAUAAAUAAUUUACUUGCCCACCAUACUUUGAAUACAAAAAAUAAACCUUUUGUCCAGUCAUAUUUAAGCG